rfam:Azotobacter vinelandii DJ, complete genome.
CGCCUCAUGCCUGAAAGGGCGACGGUGUCGAGCCGGAGCGAGAAGUCAGCAGAGGUCGUAGUAGCCGCAGUAGCGGGGCCGCAGAGGCCAGAUGCGAACCGGUGAAGGAC